rnacentral:snoRNA from 1 species
GGAUCCAUGAUGACUUCCAUAUACAUUCCUUGGAAAGCUGAACAAAAUGAGUGAAAACUCUAUACCGUCAUCCUUGUCAAACUGAGGUCC